CCUACGGGAGGCAGCAGUCGAGAAUCAUUCACAAUGGGGGAAACCCUGAUGGAGCGACGCCGCGUGGGGGAAUGAAGGUCUACGGAUUGUAAACUCCUGUCAUGUGGGAGCAAAUUAAAAAGAUAGUACCACUAGAGGAAGAGACGGCUAACUCUGUGCCAGCAGCCGCGGUAAUACAGAGGUCUCAAGCGUUGUUCGGAACCACUGGGCGUAAAGCGUGCGUAGGCUGUUUCGUAAGUCGUGUGUGAAAGGCGCGGGCUCAACCCGCGGACGGCACAUGAUACUGCGAGACUAGAGUAAUGGAGGGGGAACCGGAAUGCUCGGUGUAGCAGUGAAAUGCGUAGAUAUCGAGAGGAACACUCGUGGCGAUGGCGGGUUCCUGGACAUGAACUGACGCUGAGGCACGAAGGCCAGGGGAGCGAAAGGGAUUAGAUACCCCUGUAGUC
rnacentral:rRNA from 1 species